rnacentral:rRNA from 1 species
GGGCUUGACAUCCCACGAACCUGCUGAAAGGCAGGAGUGCCCGCAAGGGAGCGCGGAGACAGGUGUUGCAUGGCUGUCGUCAGCUCGUGUCGUGAGAUGUUGGGUUAAGUCCCGCAACGAGCGCAACCCUCAUCGUCUGUUGCCAGCAUUCAGUUGGGCACUCUGACGAAACUGCCCGGGUAACCGGGAGGAAGGUGGGGACGACGUCAAGUCAGCAUGGCCUUUAUGUCUGGGGCCACACACGUGCUACAAUGGCCGGUACAAACCGUCGCAAACUCGCAAGGGUGAGCUAAUCGGAGAAAGCCGGUCUCAGUUCGGAUUGUAGGCUGCAACUCGCCUGCAUGAAGUUGGAAUCGCUAGUAAUCGCGGAUCAGCACGCCGCGGUGAAUACGUUCCCGGGCCUUGUACACACCGCCCGUCACAUCACGAAAGCUGGCUGUACUCGAAGUCGCUGAG